rnacentral:lncRNA from 1 species
GUAUCAAUUAUCAACCAUUUCAUAACAAACAACUUAAAAUAAAAUUGCUAACAUUAGCAUGGAAAUAAGCACAUAGAGAAAUCUCUAUAAACACUUAAAAGAAGAAUAAAUAAGAAAAAAUGAAAUAAAUUUCUCUCAUGAACAAAAUCUAGAUUCUGAAAAAAGCUAAAUUUAUCUUAUGCACAAGUUAUUUUUAGAUCAUAGAGGAAACUUCAUUUCUUUCUUCUUCUUUUUUUCUAUAAGUACUUGUAGCCAAACUAUCCAAAGGUCCAAACACAUAUAUAUGAUGUCAUAUCUUAAAGGUUCAACAUUUAUUUUCUUCUUUCUAAACAUUAAAGCUCAAUAUAAAUUAAUAUAAGAAAUGUAGC